rnacentral:rRNA from 1 species
UACGAAGGGGGCUAGCGUUGCCCGGAAUCACUGGGCGUAAAGGGUGCGUAGGCGGGUCUUUAAGUCAGGGGUGAAAUCCUGGAGCUCAACUCCAGAACUGCCUUUGAUACUGAAGAUCUUGAGUUCGGGAGAGGUGAGUGGAACUCCGAGUGUAGAGGUGAAAUUCGUAGAUAUUCGGAAGAACACCAGUGGCGAAGGCGGCUCACUGGCCCGGUACUGACGCUGAGGUGGCGAAAGCGUGGGGAGCCAAACAGGG